rnacentral:rRNA from 1 species
GACGAACGCUGGCGGCGUGCCUAAGACAUGCAAGUCGAGCGAGGGAACUUCGGUUUCCGAGCGGCGGACGGGUGAGUAACGCGUGGGUAACCUGCCCUUCAGCCCGGGAUAACUGCCUAGAAAAGGUGGCUAAUACCGGAUGCGGUGAUGAGGUCGCAUGAACUGAUCAACGAAAAUUACGGUGCUGAAGGAUGGGCCCGCGUCCCAUUAGCUAGUUGGUGAGGUAACGGCCCACCAAGGCGACGAUGGGUAGCCGGCCUGAGAGGGUGGACGGCCACACUGGGACUGAGACACGGCCCAGACUCCUACGGGAGGCAGCAGUCGGGAAUCUUCCACAAUGGGCGAAAGCCUGAUGGAGCGACGCCGCGUGAGGGAAGAAGGUCUUCGGAUCGUAAACCUCUGUCCUCAGGGACGAUGAUGACGGUACCUGAGGAGGAAGCCACGGCUAACUACGUG